AAUUAAUGAGCUUGUAAAUUAAGCAUUUGUUUUGAAAACAUAAGAAAGAACUYUAUUCUAUUAAUUU
rnacentral:tRNA from 1 species